rnacentral:lncRNA from 1 species
GGCGUGUCGCGGACACGGCGUCGCGACGGCGGUGCGCGGGGACAGGGCUCGGCGCGGCGGGGCGUCCGCGCGGCCGGCCAGGUCGGAGACGCGGACACGGAGAGGCUCCGUGCUCGCGGUGCUGGCCGAAGACGGGGCUCGGGGAAGAGCUCGCGGUUGUGCGUCGUGACGCGGCCACGGCGAGGUUGGUGUCGCAGGCGAAGGACCUCGACGUCGGGGUCGCGGGUGCGGCUCGGCGGUGCUCGGCGGCGUCGUGGCCCGGGGCGGGGUUGACGCGAGGGCGCGGAGCUCCUGAUGGGGCGCCGAGGUCCUGGCCGCGGCCGAGGCUCGUAAAGACGAGGUCGUCGCGGGGCACCGAGGCGGCUCGGCAGUGCUGUGGCGCCCGCGCGGCCAGCCGUGGUCGAAGCUCGACGCGGCGAGGGCAGCGUCGCGGCUGGCCACGGCUCGGCGAAGGUGGCUUCUGGGCGUCAUGUCAGCCGUCGAGGCAAGGGCGCCGUCGUCUCGGGCUCUCGGUGGCGCAGUGGGUGCUCGUCGCGGACAACUCAAGCGCCUGCGUCCCGGUGCGGCCGUGGCAUCCGCGUGGCCGUCCGCGGUCGCGAGUCCGCACGACGCCGCGGUCGCGGAGGACGCCGGGGCCUCGGUGGCGUCCAGGCUUGACGUGAAGGCGUUGUCGCGGCGCCGGUCAUGGAGGACAAGGCGGAGGGCGGCGGCGCUGGGUGGAGGGAACAGAGGACUGCGGCGGCGCCACUAGGGAAGAGCUCGAGGGCGUGGCGGCGGCUGGGCUCUUUAUAGGCGUCGAGGCUAGGGCUUCAGAGUGGAGGCGUUCAUCCUCGGCGUCCGUGUCCGCAGCGGGACACGCGGCGGGAAUCCUGGGCUGGCGCGGACAGGGACAGGAGGGGCGCUGGCGCUCGUGGCCUUUCCACCGAGCGGUGGCGGUGGCGGCUCUACCUGGGAGCGGCGCGGUUCCUAGGGUUGGGGAGAAGGGGGCGCUGCCUCCCUCAUGGGCCACGGCCUGGGCCUUGGCGACUUGGGCCGUAGGUGAAGGGGGACGAGUGAGCUGGGGGCAAGACGCGCUGGCGGGCCGUGGUGCUGCGUCGCUGGGCCUUGCGCGCGAAAGGGCCAAGCAUGGAGGAGGGAGGGCGCUGGUCGCGUGGGCCAAAGGGAGAAAAGAAAAGAAAAAAAAGGGUAGGAGGGGAGUAGGAAAUGGAUUUUGGCCCGAAAGAGAAGGAUUUUCCAUUUACGAACUUGACUCAAGGGCUUUGAGAGAGAAAUUUAAAAAGGGGAAAGAAUCGAGGGGGAUUCGAGAGAGAACUCAAAAAGAGAUUAAGAUGAGUUGCCAUGAAUUCAAGAUGGAUUUAGCGGUAGGGAUUUAGAGAGGAGGUCGACAAGAGAAAAGGUUUGAGAAGGGAAUUUCGGGGAGAGUUCGGAAAGAAUUCAAGGAAGUUGAGAAGGGAUUCGCUUCGCCUUUGAGAUAGGCUCAAAGAAAAUUUGAGAAGACUUCGCUAGGGAUUUAUGCACUCCAAAAGAAACUCAAAACCCUAAACAAGACCCAACUUAAGACGACUCACGAACAAAAUCACUCGCCUACAAACAAAUCUACAUGUAUGCCACGAUUUGUUAGCGGGUUAGGAUCGAGUUAGACCUGAAAACUAUAUGCUUCACACGGUUACAUGAAAAAUUUUAAAAAGCUCGUAUUUUUGGUUUUUUUUUUUGUAAAAAUCCGGGAUGUUACAGUCCACCCACCUUACAGGAAUCUCGUCCCCGAGAUUUAGGCGUUGCUCGGUCGGUGAAGAGACGAGGGUGUCGUUCUCAAAGCCUUUCUUACUUCUGAGUUGUUUCACUUUCAAUGUGAUCGCUCCACAAACUUUUUCCAAAAUGGGAGUGACUCUUGUUCCAAGUGUAUGCAAGGCUCACUUGCAGUCGUUGGGCAUCCAAAUUUUCACAUCAGGGCGAUGGGUGUCCAAGAAUCGCACGGGGUUGAUGAACAUCUGGCUCUCAAAGAGUGCAUGGCAGGCUUAAACGUAGCUAGGGUUGUUGGCUUUCAAUAGCUGUUUUUCGUGCAUCACUCUUUGCAAAAAGCUUUUGAAAGGAAUGUUUUUCGGAAAAACAGGUUUCAUAAAUGGAGUGAAAGCGAUUUUACAAAGUCAAAUGGAUUUUAAAGAGAGCUCAAACUGAAAAUAGCUUAUGGAAAGGGUUGAAAUCAGCGCAAAUUUUGAAAACCAAGUUUAUUUAUUUUAUUAUAAUUAUUAUUUUAAGAUUUUUGAUGUAAAAGAUUUCAAAUCAAGAGACUUUGAAACUCUUUUAGUUUUCUAGAUGAGGCGUUGCUCUCUUUUAUUUGAACUAAACAAACUAGUUUUGAAAAUGAUUAGAAAUCAUUUCUCUCUUUUGAAAGAUAAAGCUUUAACAACAAUAACAUUUUCUUUCAAAACUUGUAAGUUCAUUUUGUUUUUGCUAAUUUUUUUUUUGGAAGGCCGCAAACAAAAUUCUUUUCGCAAUGGUUUUUGUUUAAUAAAACACUGAAAAUUCCUUUUUCUUUUAGGACAAGGUGGAUUUUUAAAAGGAAUUUGGCUCUCGAGAUAAAAUCAAAGGUCUUUACAACAAAACUGAGCCAAAGAUCUUUGAUCUAAAAACCAUUUUGUUGAUGAAAAAGCAAGACUUUUGUUUUUCAGAAGAUGGUUGGUAACACCUUUUGAAAGAUAACUUAUUUUUAAAUAGUUUCAUAAAUAGAGUUUGGAUAAAAUUGAGUUGAGAAAAGGGUUAAAAUGGCUCUCUUUGUGAAAAUGAAAGAUAUUAAGAGAGUUUUGAAACACUUUUCCUUUUGAAACAAGGAUGCUUUUGUUAGAGAGGGGACAUUUUAACCAAAAGGAGAGAAAAUUUUGAAGACAGGUUCAUUUUGGAAGCCAAAAACAGUUUUGAAAUAGGCGAGCAUCACAUGAUGCAACAGCUUUACCUAACUUUUAACUUUGUUAGUCAGGGCCACCUAUCUAGUCUCGGGACGGUCUUAGGUUUAGCCGACUAGGUUGGACGGAAUCCAGAGUUUUUCUCGCAUAAAACAGGUUCUAUGACUUACACCCAGACAACAAGAAGCAGAAGAAACGCAACAACAUAAGAUCCAAGCACUCAAACAGCAUUACAACUCCUAAUGCAUAGUGUUGACUUGAGGCGACUCACAGACCUUCAAAGUCUCACACAACUAUCGAUCUAGCGUGGGCGGGUAUGGGAAAAGAUUCCAACGGUCAACUUUAUGAAACAGGGAGGUCAGUUAGCAGCAGAAUUCAAGGCGGAGGGGGGAAAACAAGUGUUAGCAUCUAUAACUCUACAAAAGAUAGAAUGUUUGGCUUCUAAACUAGUGUUUGGUCCUAAAGGUCUCGUCCUAGGGUCAAGUAUGGCUCUGAUACCAACUGAAACGACCUAGAUUUUUCCACAAAGGGGAAAAAUCCUCAGAUUCGAAUUAUAAUGUGAUAAUUCAGAUAUUGAGCCAUCACAUUAUCAUAUAUCAGCUGUUAUCGCAGUCAUACAUCGUGAAAAAGAAGAUUACAUCACAUUUACUUUACAACUCUUAGUUAACAAGCCUAUUACAUCGUUUUACUAGCGGAAACACACACGAAUCUUUUUCAGAGUCGAUGUAGCGCGUCAGCAGUGAGGGCUCCUCCUUCACGGGCAAUCAUCAGAGUCGGCGUAGUUUAUCAGCGGGCGUAGCCUUCAUCUCCGAACCAAACUUGAGCGCAGGAACGAGACCACCUAAUCCUUCUAUUCUCCGUAGUUAUCAUCAUAGACCACAUCCAAAACCUGCUAAACAAUUUUCAGUACGAUUUGUACUGGCCACUGGCUCCCACCCUAUGCUUUUGCUUAAGCUUUGUGGUAAGUGGAAUGCAAAGGGUAGAUCAAGAGGCCUAUAUAUAUGGCUGUAGUCUUUCCUAUGCAAGUUCAUCAAUAUUUAAUAAUAAUAUUUCAUCAAGUUUUAUUCCAUCUCAUCCACACAUCCAUCCAUCCAUCCCAUCACACACAUCUCACCACACUCUCACUCUCUAGGCGGCAAGUACGACUCCCGCUCGUGCCUUGCCUCAACGGCCAACGCCGGAUCCAACACAAACCCAGGGGAAGGUAGAAAGGACUCCUCUCACUAGUCAAGCGAAGCGGAACAUAGGAAAGGUCCAUAGCCGAGAAGACGGCAUAUGUAUCGAUCGAUCAACCAAACUCUGCAGAGGUUUACACUAACCACAAGAUCACCAUCAUCGACGAACCGGCUCGUCUAGGCUGAUACCGGGCUGCCUUCCAACUAAAUACGAUGCCACCCUACCACUCAGGACUGGGGCCAUACCGGAGUACCACCGGCAUGCUGAGACUGUGAGGCGUAGUACCGGGCCCCCAAGGGUCACUACGCUGUCUUAGGAGGGUGUGGGUCCUCAUGCCCGUACCUCCCUACACUAUCCGCUAUCAACCUAGUAGUAGUGGCACCGCACUAGCUGGUCGUACAUCCGUCCCGCACCAUAAUAAGGCGAGUGGCGUGUAAGGCUUCCUACGAACCGGUUCUCAGAACAUCUCAGUCCUUAGGGUAACCGAACAGGACAUCUUCACGAGGGGCCAGCCGAUGCCCCUCUCGACGGGACACCCGGCUACCCCGUGCUAAACAGCACCUCCCAUCCCGGUGCUUCGUCCCACGAAGACACUCCACUCCGGGACCUCUCCCUGUCACAUGUACCCGCCACAGGUAUCUCUCAUGGAGAACGCCCAGGUAGCGUUCCCCGGCAAGACUUGUCCCAAGACUCGUCGUAAAUCCUGCUCGGUCGACUCAACCCUCACCACACACCCAAGACACACGCCAAGAUCUCCCCAUAUCCAUUAUCCAUUUCUUAACCAGUUAUCGGCACACGUGCCUUAUCCACUCACAUCCAAUCCUCCACAAUGCAUCACAUCACAGAUAUAAUGCGUAGUAGAAGCAGUAGCAAGUAGUAUGCAAGCAUCUAACCUAACAGCGGGUGUGCGAGGGUUAUAGGUUGCAACAAGGCAAUGGCUCACAAGCAUUUCUACCAUGCAACCUAUCAUAGUUCAUUUGCAUAAAAGUAAAGCACUAGCAUCUAUAAUAUUGCAUGUCUAAUAGGAUUCUACGAGGUUGGGUGGGACGUGGCACCUGUCGAGUGACAUUUCCAGGAUCCUCAGUUCACUUGUAGUUGUACUCAUCCAAGGUCUUUCUCCUAUCUGCAUGUCCUUCCUUCGACUGGUUCCGAUUCGAUCAUCGCUAACCGAAGCAACUACCUCGUAAACGACAAUCAAGGCGAAACAAUCAAACCACUAGACCUAGAAAGAUCAUGAUAAGAGGCGACAAAACACUGAAGAACAACUACACUAAAAGAGCACCGAAAGGAAAACAACUUAGCCCUCUCGGCGGAUGUCCGAUCCCUGGGCUAAAAGAAACGGGAAUGGUUGUUCACUAAGUACAAGCCAGAGUCUUAGCCUAGCCGGUACUUCCCGGGUUAACUGAGUCAACCUGUACGGCUUUAUUAAAUGGCUUAGACUCUAACUCAUUCUAAGCAAACACCACAACUUACAGUCUUUCGAUCCAAGUGUCAUAGAGAUCGACAGGAAUCGAAAAGGCUAUGAGCACGGGAAGUUCCGGUCUCUCUCAAUCCAUACGCCAUUGUAGUUGGCGAGAGCCAAGAGAGGGUGGAACAAGGAGAGAAGAAAAAGGGAAGUGGUCUACUCCUUCCAAUCCACUUGCCAUGGUAAUAGACGGGGUAAUCAGAAAGAGUGACAUACAAGAACACGAGUGCUCAAACUACUUGUAGGGUACCACAACCUAGGUACACUGAAUGCACUAAGACAUCCCUAGGGUUCUUAGCAGUGCGGUUGUCACCACGAGAACCAAAGAAAUGCUACGGUCGAAUAGGUACAAGCAUACAAGAGUUUAAACACAAAGAACCAAAAAGGCGGGAAAAGACACGGGUUUCACUUCCUAUUGAUCCACUUGCCAUAGCAACAGCGGGAAUCGUAGAAAUGGAAUCAAAACACCAAACAAACAAAAGGGCUCAAUCCACAUAUUACUGGAUCUACAGGGAUUGAGAACAAGAGAGAAGAGGAAUGGAGUCCAUACUGUUUCGACCAACUCAUCAUGGAAUGAACGACGGUUGGAUGAAAGAGAUACGACCCCACGAUCCAACCCUACUCGUAGGGUACCACGACUGUGCAUCUAAUCAGCACACGGCUAUUCCUAAGGCCCGUAGCGAUGCGGUUGUCACCGCUAGGUCCGAGGGAAUGCUAUAGUCGAAGUGGUGCAAGCAUACGAGGUGGUUAGGAUAAACACGCGAGAAAUGGGGUAAAGCCGGAUGGUCAUGGCAAGGUGGACUUGCGACCAUUAGCUUCACCCAACGAGUUGGCUUCUGACUGUUCUACAAGGGUUGCUCCUAAUCUGUAUCCCACUAGACUAGAUCACAGAGAACUCGAAGGUGCGGGUAAGAACCGCGUCGUUAUGAAUAUCGAGUCCGCAAAGAUCAAACCCCAGGGACGAGGAUAGGAGCUAACAAGCGUAGCGUGACGAAGUCAACUAAACACGGGGAGACGAGUUACGCUCGGCAUCGCGAUCACGGCGGGACGAACCCACGAUCGAAAUGAUCAAACGCACUACCACUUCCCCGACCGGCUCGAAGGCUCAGUCCUCAGGCAAAUAACAAAAGAAAGAACGACGACAACCCGAGAAGGGAUAUGCUUGGCACUACGACCAUGGCGAGACAACUCGCGAUCGCAACAUUCAAACACAUCACUCUCUCAACCGGCUCGAAGGCACGGUUCACAACCAACCAACCACAUGACACAAGAACCAACGCACAAAGAACCACAAUGCCGCGACCAACACAAAGACAAAGUAGAGUAGCACAUUUCCAUAGCGACCAACAGAGAUAGAUAAACGGAUAGAUAAACAGACCGGCACGAAGGCACGGCACAGGCAUAGAAUAAAUAAUUCAUGUAUCGACAAGUAUAGAUAGAUGGAUAAAGAUGAAUCAUAUAGCAAGUGUAUGAAAGCAGAAUAGGGUUUUUGUUGGCAUCGGGAAUGACGCCAACUAGGGUUCGGGGCUCGACCUUGGAGCCGAUGGGCUGUGGUAGCAGCUGUUGUUCUUCGGAUGCAGCGAAGUGGUGGUCAUGCUUGGUCGCGCGGCUUCGUCAUUGGCCGGUGCUCGGCAAGGUGUUGCAAAGGCGAUCAGCGGUGCUGCGAGGUUCCACUCAUGGUAGCUCUAGCGUUGCGGCUUCCAUGGGAAGGUGCAGCAGGUCCGAGGCCUCCCUGUGACAGUGGUUGAACACGGCACCCAGGCCGACUGUUAGCCAAGAACCACGGUAUGGUCUUCAGAACGGAAAGAAAGGUAUGGCCUUGGCUUGAGAGCUCACCGAUGACAGAGAAGGGCUUGGCGAGGACGAGGCGAGCACGGCACUGACGAGGGGAACUGGUGGGGGCGCUGCUCGACGUCGUGGCCGCAGGGGUGGUGCUUGGCGCUCGGGUUCGCGGUCACCACGGGGUUGCUGGGUCACGACCAGCGCUGCGGACGACGGUGUCGUGGAGGAGGGCUCGGAGCAGAACUCGGUGAGGACGCAGCGUCGCGGGGUCGGGGCUCCUGCUCGGCGAGGGCGCGGAGAUCCUACUCGACGUCGAGGUAGAGGCGCGGCUUGACGGCGGCGGGUGCGCGGGGUGGUGCCGAGGACGAGGCGUGUCGCGGACACGGCGUCGCGACGGCGGUGCGCGGGGACAGGGCUCGGCGCGGCGGGGCGUCCGCGCGGCCGGCCAGGUCGGAGACGCGGACACGGAGAGGCUCCGUGCUCGCGGUGCUGGCCGAAGACGGGGCUCGGGGAAGAGCUCGCGGUUGUGCGUCGUGACGCGGCCACGGCGAGGUUGGUGUCGCAGCCUCGGCCCUUGGCGAAGGACCUCGACGUCGGGGUCGCGGGUGCGGCUCGGCGGUGCUCGGCGGCGUCGUGGCCCGGGGCGGGGUUGACGCGAGGGCGCGGAGCUCCUGAUGGGGCGCCGAGGUCCUGGCCGCGGCCGAGGCUCGUAAAGACGAGGUCGUCGCGGGGCACCGAGGCGGCUCGGCAGUGCUGUGGCGCCCGCGCGGCCAGCCGUGGUCGAAGCUCGACGCGGCGAGGGCAGCGUCGCGGCUGGCCACGGCUCGGCGAAGGUGGCUUCUGGGCGUCAUGUCAGCCGUCGAGGCAAGGGCGCCGUCGUCUCGGGCUCUCGGUGGCGCAGUGGGUGCUUGUCGCGGACAACUCAAGCGCCUGCGUCCCGGUGCGGCCGUGGCAUCCGCGUGGCCGUCCGCGGUCGCGAGUCCGCACGACGCCGCGGUCGCGGAGGACGCCGGGGCCUCGGUGGCGUCCAGGCUUGACGUGAAGGCGUUGUCGCGGCGCCGGUCAUGGAGGACAAGGCGGAGGGCGGUGGCGCUGGGUGGAGGGAACAGAGGACUGCGGCGGCGCCACUAGGGAAGAGCUCGAGGGCGUGGCGGCGGCUGGGCUCUUUAUAGGCGUCGAGGCUAGGGCUUCAGAGUGGAGGCGUUCAUCCUCGGCGUCCGUGUCCGCAGCGGGACACGCGGCGGGAAUCCUGGGCUGGCGCGGACAGGGACAGGAGGGGCGCUGGCGCUCGUGGCCUUUCCACCGAGCGGCGGCGGUGGCGGCUCUACCUGGGAGCGGCGCGGUUCCUAGGGUUGGGGAGAAGGGGGCGCUGCCUCCCUCAUGGGCCACGGCCUGGGCCUUGGCGACUUGGGCCGUAG